UACGUAGGGGCCAAGCGUUGUCCGGAUUUAUUGGGCGUAAAGAGCUCGUAGGCGGUUCGGCAAGUCAGCUGUGAAAUCUCCACGCUCAACGUGGAGGGGGUCAGCUGAUACUGCUGUGACUCGAGUCCGGUAGGGGAGUGUGGAAUUCCCGGUGUAGCGGUGAAAUGCGCAGAUAUCGGGAGGAACACCAGUAGCGAAGGCGGCACUCGUGGCCGGUACUGACGCUGAGGAGCGAAAGCGUGGGGAGCAAACAGGG
rnacentral:rRNA from 1 species